rnacentral:misc_RNA from 1 species
GAUGAAGAACGUAGCGAAAUGCGAUAAGUAAUGUGAAUUGCAGAAUUCAGUGAAUCAUCGAAUCUUUGAACGCACAUUGCGCCCGCCAGUAUUCUGGCGGGCAUGCCUGUUCGAGCGUCAUUUCAACCAUCAAGCCCCCGGCUUGUGUUGGGGACCUGCGUCUGCCGCAGGCCCUGAAAAGCAGUGGCGGGCUCGCUGUCACACCGAGCGUAGUAGCAUACAUCUCGCUCUGGGCGUGCUGCGGGUUCCGGCCGUUAAACCACCUUCAUAACCCAAGGUUGACCUCGGAUCAGGUAGGAAGACCCGCUGAACUUAAGCAUAUCAAUAAGCGGAGGA